AACGAACGCUGGCGGCAUGCCUAACACAUGCAAGUCGAGCGAGACCUUCGGGUCUAGUGGCGCACGGGUGCGUAACGCGUGGGAACCUGCCCUUAGGUUCGGAAUAACUCCCCGAAAGGGGUGCUAAUACCGGAUAAUGUCUUCGGACCAAAGAUUUAUCGCCUUUGGAUGGGCCCGCGUUGGAUUAGCUAGUUGGUAGGGUAAAAGCCUACCAAGGCGACGAUCCAUAGCUGGUCUGAGAGGAUGAUCAGCCACACUGGGACUGAGACACGGCCCAGACUCCUACGGGAAGCAGCAGUGGGGAAUAUUGGACAAUGGGCGAAAGCCUGAUCCAGCAAUGCCGCGUGAGUGAUGAAGGCCUUAGGGUUGUAAAGCCCUUUUACCCGGGAUGAUAAUGACAGUACCGGGAGAAUAAGCUCCGGCUAACUCCGUG
rnacentral:rRNA from 1 species